CUUGGAGUUCCCUUAUAUCCGGGGAACAUGUCAAAACAAAUAUCUCGAAAGUUUGAUACGAUUCUCAAAAGAAAACCACAGUAACAGCCUUUCUCACCACUUUUAGUUUUGUUUGUGAACAGUUACAAAUAUCUAUUUAAUUGAGAAAGGAACCCGUUUUGGGUUUACAAAUGAAGGAGGUUUUGGCCGGGAUAAUAUUUGGAGUAUCUCUGCACUUUGGAAUUGUGCAACUAAACAUGACUUUCGUAAUGCUAGAAAACCAAAUAAGUAUUACGGAUGGCACUUGAUUAAUGUUUUUUUCAUUUAUUUUGAAUUUUCAAUUAUGAGUUGGUACUAAGUAUCUCAUUUCCUUUCUUUUUACUCUCGGAAGCUGAUUACUAUUAAUUAAUUGGUGGAGGAUUA